rnacentral:rRNA from 1 species
AACCUUUAGCAAAACAAAUAUUAAAGGCAACGCCUGCCCAGUGAACAAUUAAACGGCCGCGGUACCCUAACCGUGCAAAGGUAGCACAAUCACUUGUCUACUAAUUAUAGACCUGUAUGAAUGGCAAAAUGAGGGCUUAACUGUCUCUUAUAAUAAAUCAAUUAAACUGAUCUCCUAGUAAAAAAGCUAGGAUUCCAACAUAAGACCAGAAGACCCUGUGAAGCUUAAACUAAACUAUUAAACCAUAUAAUAAAUACUUUCGGUUGGGGCGACCUUGGAAACAAAAAGAACUUCCAAAUACAAAGAGCAUAUUCACUCUUAAAAGGCCAACAAGCCAAAAAAGACCCAGCACAGCUGAUAAUUGAACCAAGUUACUCCAGGGAUAACAGCGCUAUCUUCUUCAAGAGCCCAUAUCAAAAAGAAGGUUUACGACCUCGAUGUUGGAUCAGGACAUCCUAAUGGUGCAGACGCUAUUAAGGGUUCGUUUGUUCAACGAUUAAUAGUCCC